GCGGAGGGAUCAUUACCGAGAGAGGGCGCCUCGCGCGCCCGCCCUCCCAACCCUUUUGCGAACCGUACCGCGUUGCCUCGGGGUGGCCCCUAGCCGGGCGCCCCCGAGGACGUCUCACCAAACCCUGCGUCCCUGCGUCGGAGUAUGAUAUUGAAUCAAUCAAAACUUUCAACAACGGAUCUCUUGGUUCUGGCAUCGAUGAAGAACGCAGCGAAAUGCGAUAAGUAAUGUGAAUUGCAGAAAUUCAGUGAAUCAUCGAAUCUUUGAAACGCACAUUGCGCCCCCCUGGCAUUCCGGGGGGCAUGCCCGUUCGAGCGUCAUUACACCACUCAAGCCUGGCUUGGUAUUGGGCGUCGGGAUGCACCCGCGCCUCUAUGUUUUGUUCGGCUGGACGGUUUGGAAAUCUCAGCGUUGUGCAAUCAAUCCGCUGUGGGAACCUGACUGGACGCCGCCGUGAAAAUCUCAUCACAGGUUUGACCUCGGAUCGGGUAGGGAUACCCGCUGAACUUAA
rnacentral:rRNA from 1 species